CGCUGAACUUAAGCAUAUCAAUAAGCGGAGGAAAAGAAACCAACAGGGAUUGCCCUAGUAACGGCGAGUGAAGCGGCAACAGCUCAAAUUUGAAAUCUGGCUCUUUUAGAGUCCGAGUUGUAAUUUGCAGAGGGCGCUUUGGCUUUGGCAGCGGUCCAAGUUCCUUGGAACAGGACGUCACAGAGGGUGAGAAUCCCGUACGUGGUCGCUGGCUAUUGCCGUGUAAAGCCCCUUCGACGAGUCGAGUUGUUUGGGAAUGCAGCUCUAAAUGGGAGGUACAUUUCUUCUAAAGCUAAAUAUUGGCCAGAGACCGAUAGCGCACAAGUAGAGUGAUCGAAAGAUGAAAAGCACUUUGGAAAGAGAGUCAAACAGCACGUGAAAUUGUUGAAAGGGAAGCGCUUGCAGCCAGACUUGCUUACAGUUGCUCAUCCGGGUUUCUACCCGGUGCACUCUUCUGUAGGCAGGCCAGCAUCAGUUUGGGCGGUAGGAUAAAGGUCUCUGUCACGUACCUCCUUUCGGGGAGGCCUUAUAGGGGAGACGACAUACUACCAGCCUGGACUGAGGUCCGCGCAUCUGCUAGGAUGCUGGCGUAAUGGCUGUAAGCGGCCCGUCUUGAAACACGGACCAAGGAGUCUAACAUCUAUGCGAGUGUUUGGGUGUCAAGCCCGAGCGCGUAAUGAAAGUGAACGGAGGUGGGAACCCGCAAGGGUGCACCAUCGACCGAUCCUGAUGUCUUCGGAAGGAUUUGAGUAAGAGCAUGGCUGUUGGGACCCGAAAGAUGGUGAACUAUGCUUGAAUAGGGUGAAGCCAGAGGAAACUCUGGUGGAGGCUCGCAGCGGUUCUGACGUGCAAAUCGAUCGUCAAAUUUGGGCAUAGGGGCGAAAGACUAAUCGAACUAUCUAGUAGCUGGUCCUGC
rnacentral:rRNA from 1 species